AGAGUUUGAUCAUGGCUCAGAAUCAACGCUGGCGGCGCGCCUAACACAUGCAAGUCGAACGAGAAAGUGGAGCAAUCCAUGAGUACAGUGGCGUACGGGUGAGUAACACGUGGGUAAUCUACCUCUUAGUGUGGAAUAACUUUGGGAAACCGAAGCUAAUACCGCAUAAGCUCGAGAGAGGAAAGCAGCAAUGCGCUGAGAGAGGAGCCCGCGGCCGAUUAGCUAGUUGGCAGGGUAAAAGCCUACCAAGGCAUAGAUCGGUAGCCGGCCUGAGAGGGCACACGGCCACACUGGCACUGAAACACGGGCCAGACUCCUACGGGAGGCAGCAGUGGGGAAUCUUGCACAAUGGGGGAAACCCUGAUGCAGCGACGCCGCGUGAGCGAUGAAGCCCUUCGGGGUGUAAAGCUCUUUCGGCAGGGAAGAUCGUGACGGUACCUGCAGAAGCAGCUGCGGCUAACUACGUGCCAGCAGCCGCGGUAAUACGUAGGCAGCGAGCGUUGUUCGGAGUUACUGGGCGUAAAGGGUGUGUAGGCGGUUGUUUAAGUUUGGUGUGAAAUCUCCCGGCUCAACUGGGAGGGUGCGCCGAAUACUGAAUGACUAGAGUACGGGAGAGGAAAGUGGAAUUCCUGGUGUAGCGGUGAAAUGCGUAGAUAUCAGGAGGAACACCGGUGGUGUAGACGGCUUUCUGGACCGUAACUGACGCUGAGACACGAAAGCGUGGGUAGCAAACAGGAUUAGAUACCCUAGUAGUCC
rnacentral:rRNA from 1 species